CAGAUGGGAAAACGAACAAAGGCAAGGCUCCUCCUGUCCGUCCACGUGGUGCAUUGUCUCCAGAAGUAGCAAAGAAAGAAGGUCCAGCUGUUGGAUCGGCCGACUUAGAGGAGGAGAAAACGUCUCAUCAGGAAUCCUCCGCUGCUCCUGAAGAGCCAGGUUUGGAAACUACACUGCCUGAGUCAGAGUUAAAGAAGGAGGCAGAGCAGGAUGGGGAAGCAAAUGUUCCUUCAGAUAGUGUCUUUCCUUCUGAGGAAGUUUCGCCAUUAACCCAAAACUCUCCGAAUGUGGCACCUGAGAACGCCGCUGGUGAACAGUCUGAGGACAUGGACAAACCUAUUUCUACACCUGAAAAGGAACCAGCGAAUGAAGA